GUGUCAGCAGCCGCGGUAAGACAGAGGAGGCAAGCGUUGUCCGGACUUACUGGGCGUAAAGCGUCCGCAGGUGGUCGUGCAAGUGCGCUGUGAAAGCGCUCGGCUUAACUGAGCGAGGCCAGUGCAGACUGCGCGACUGGAGGCCGGGAGAGGUCGGUGGAAUUGCCGGUGUAGUGGUGAAAUGCGUAGAGAUCGGCAGGAACACCCAAGGGGAAGCCAGCUGACUGGCCCGGUCCUGACACUCAGGGACGACAGCGUGGGGAGCGAACCGGAUUAGAUACCCUGGUAGUCC
rnacentral:rRNA from 1 species